rnacentral:rRNA from 1 species
GACGAGUCUCACAAACGUUAUUCGGAAUUAUUGGGCGUAAAGAGCUCGUAGGCGGUCUGUCGCGUCGGCUGUGAAAUCCCGAGGCUCAACCUCGGGUCUGCAGUCGAUACGGGCAAACUGGAGUGUUGCAGGGGAGACUGGAAUUCCUGGUGUAGCGGUGAAAUGCGCAGAUAUCAGGAGGAACACCGGUGGCGAAGGCGGCGACCUGGACCGGUACUGACGCUGAGACGCGAAAGCGUGGGGAGCAAACAGG